GCGCAGGCCUGGGUUGCCUCGGCCGCCCCACCCGCGCCUGCCCUUCCCCGCCCGGCCGGGAGGGAGGGAUCUGGCUCUCCUAGGAAGUUUCAGGUCUUCACCUGAGCCUGCCUGCACCAUGCUGACCUUCUGCCUUCCGACGGUGCCGCGCCUUGGCCUGCCUGCGGCUCUGAGGGUGUGAGUGACUGUGCUUGUGUAGGCAUCGUUAUCUGCAGGCCUCGAGGUUUGGACUGUGACCAUGUUUGAAAAGAUCCUGUCUUCUUUGAACUGAGCAAAGUAACUCUAAAUCCCCAAUGAAAAUAAAGGACAAUAAAGAGAGAAACCUACUGGGUGCCAUGGCUCCUUUCUGUCUCCUUCAUAGGAGUUGGGCAAAGGGGGUCCCUUAAUUUUUAAGAAGCUAAAACACUGUAAUGGGGAGCUCAGAGAGGAAUUCAUAGCUGCCAGGAACUUACAGAAUCAUUUCCUAGAAAUUUUAUUGAGUCCACUAAAAAAAAUAAUAAUCCCUGGGAAAACGUUUCAUUUAGAAUCAUAAAUUCACUGAAUCGUUGAACAGUGAAUGAGACUUUUAAAUUCUCUGCCCUCCAGUGGAGGGAAAAUGCCCAAUCUUCCCAGCUGUUCUUAACCUUGUUUUCCUCUACAUCAAAUGAGGCACUGCUGUCCCUGUGAAGGUUUGGGGCUUAACUGGGCUGCCCUCUACACAGUCUCGGGCUUCCUUAGAGGUUAAGGUUAGUGCACAUUUGGCAGAAUUUUAAAAAUCUGUUUUAACUUUUUCAAAAAUCGUGUUUUGAAAAAGUUACACAUGGGCAUUUUCCAAAAUUUAAAAGUACAAAAGGAUGCAUUUUUCCUUUCACACGUGUCCCUCAGCUAUCUAGUUCCCUUUCCUGGACACGCCAAUAUUACUCCAAGCUGCUUGGGGAAUGCUUCCAAACAUAGUCUGUGCUUAUAGGAACAUAUUACACCAAUGAUAGCCCACAAUAUAUUUUGAUACUGCCAU